AACCUCCAAACACGCACGGACCAGUCCAAGGACUCCCCACCCUCUGCUCAUGCACACACUUGCACCCCUUUUAUUCAAGUGUGAGAUCAUGACCAUGAGGAGAGAAGCCACCCGC
rnacentral:ribozyme from 1 species